rnacentral:rRNA from 1 species
UACGGAGGGGGCUAGCGUUGUUCGGAAUUACUGGGCGUAAAGCGCACGUAGGCGGCUUUGUAAGUUAGAGGUGAAAGCCCGGGGCUCAACUCCGGAAUUGCCUUUAAGACUGCAUCGCUAGAAUUGUGGAGAGGUAAGUGGAAUUCCGAGUGUAGAGGUGAAAUUCGUAGAUAUUCGGAAGAACGCCAGUGGCGAAGGCGACUUACUGGACACAUAUUGACGCUGAGGUGCGAAAGCUAGGGGAGCGAACAGG